GAACGCGAAGAACCUUACCAAGUCUUGACAUCCUUUGACCACUCUAGAGAUAGAGCUUUCCCUUCGGGGACAAAGUGACAGGUGGUGCAUGGUUGUCGUCAGCUCGUGUCGUGAGAUGUUGGGUUAAGUCCCGCAACGAGCGCAACCCUUGUCAUUAGUUGCCAUCAUUCAGUUGGGCACUCUAAUGAGACUGCCGGUGACAAGCCGGAGGAAGGUGGGGAUGACGUCAAAUCAGCACGGCCCUUACGUCCGGGGCUACACACGUGAUUACAAUGGUGGGGUACAGAAGGUCGCUACCUGGUGACAGGAUGCUAAUCUCCAAAACCUCUUUCAGUUCGGAUUGGAGUUCUGCAAACCUCGACUCCAUGAAGCUGGAUUUCGGCUAGUAAUUCGCGCAUCAGCCAUGGCGCGGUGAAUAACGUUCCCGGGUCUUGUACACACC
rnacentral:rRNA from 1 species